rnacentral:rRNA from 1 species
AACGAACGCUGGCGGCAGGCCUAACACAUGCAAGUCGAACGAGAAGCCACCUUCGGGUGGUGGACAGUGGCAGACGGGUGAGUAACGCGUGGGAACGUGCCUUUCGGUUCGGAAUAACCCAGGGAAACUUGGGCUAAUACCGGAUACGCCCUUCGGGGGAAAGAUUCAUCGCCGAAUGAACGGCCCGCGUCGGAUUAGCUAGUUGGUGGGGUAAUGGCUCACCAAGGCGACGAUCCGUAGCUGGUCUGAGAGGAUGACCAGCCACACUGGGACUGAGACACGGCCCAGACUCCUACGGGAGGCAGCAGUGGGGAAUAUUGGACAAUGGGCGAAAGCCUGAUCCAGCCAUGCCGCGUGGGUGAAGAAGGCCUUAGGGUUGUAAACCCCUUUCAGCGGGGAAGAUAAUGACGGUACCCGCAGAAGAAGUCCCGGCUAACUCCGUGCCAGCAGCCGCCGUAACAC